rnacentral:lncRNA from 1 species
AUGCUAGGUAAUGGUUUGGCUUAUCAUGUUCAUGUCUAUGUAGAAGAAGACUGUAGGAGGAAGUGGAGAGGACUCAGGGACAGGUAUCAGAGAGAGAGAAGGGUAGAGAAAGAGAAGAAGAGGUCAGCAGCUUCAGGCCAGCAGCCUUGGUGCUUCUGCCACAUUCUUUCUUUUCUGGAUCCAUUUAUUGUGCCUAGGGCAACGAGUGGCAAUUUUACAGCCAGACCCUCUACUACGUCAUCCACGAGUGUUGUCGCCACCGGUGCAUCAAGACCCUCAAUGUCACCUACAAGUGCGACCACCGCCUCCACCGGUGCAGUGAAACCCUCUACAACGUCUACAUCAUCCACAAGUAUGACCACCACCGGUGCAGUGAGACCCUCUACAACGUCUACAUCAUCCACAAGUAUGACCACCACUGGUGCAGCGAGACCCUCUACAACGUCUACAUCAUCCACAAGUAUGACCACCACCGGUGCAGCGAGACCCUCUACAACGUCUACAUCAUCCACAAGUAUGACCACCACCGGUGCAGUGAGACCCUCUACAACGUCUACAUCAUCCACAAGUAUGACCACCACUGGUGCAGCGAGACCCUCUACAACGUCUACAUCAUCCACAAGUAUGACCACCACCGGUGCAGCGAGACCCUCUACAACGUCUACAUCAUCCACAAGUAUGACCACCACCGGUGCAGCGAGACCCUCUACAAAGUCUACAUCAUCCACAAGUAUGACCACCACCGGUGCAGCGAGACCCUCUACAACGUCUACAUCAUCCACAAGUAUGACCACCACCGGUGCAGCGAGACCCUCUACAACGUCUACAUCAUCCACAAGUAUGACCACCACCGGUGCAGCGAGACCCUCUACAACGUCUACAUCAUCCACAAGUAUGACCACCACCGGUGCAGCCAUGGAAGAUGAUGAAAUGGAGGAAGCACCUCUGGAUCUAGGACCACCUGAGAUUAUUAUGAACCUCAAUGAAGUGACCACUGAGGACCUCGUUGAACAGGAUGUGGCCGUGGAGAGAAACAGAGAGAGAAAUGAAGAGGAACAAUGUCACACCAGGCGUCAUCGGAGGUACCAGCCCCCAGAUCCACUUAAUUCAUUUCAGCAGAGGCUCCUCCAAGCCGUCGAGAGGGAUGCAGCCCAACCUGAUGCUCACAGGAAGGAGGAUGACGAGACCCUAUUUGCCAUGAGCCUGGUGCCAACACUGAAGAGGCUGCCUCAGCGAAGAAAAGCAGCAGUCAAGGAUAAAUGUAUCAGCUGCUUUUCGAAGCCGAGUUCAAUGGUACAUUUUCUUCUCCCCACAUCACAGGUAGUGUCAUAA